AAACCAACCGGGAUUGCCUUAGUAACGGCGAGUGAAGCGGCAAAAGCUCAAUUUGAAAACGCUUCGGCGUGUUGUAAGUAAAGUGGUUAGACGCUUUUUAAUAAGUCCCUUGGAACAGGGCGCCAUAGAGGGUGAUAGCCCCGUAUUAAAUUGUCUAGUGUGCUACUUUAGAGC
rnacentral:rRNA from 1 species